GACGCGCACGCUGCCCUCUGACCUCGCAGCCACGUGGCCAGAGUAGGGUCUGGAGAGAGCUCCCGCUGUGGCGAGUCCUGUCGUUGCAUUCCAGCGGCGCCCCGUGAGGCUCCGCCCGGCGGUGCUACCAAAGCCUGUUCGAUUUUAGAAUCUUACAUUCCUAGAGGGAAUCCUAGAACCCUCAUUUUACAAUUGAGGAAACAGGCCCCAGUAGCAUGACUUGUUCCCGCCGCUAGUUGAAGGAGAAGUAGCCCCGAUCCCUUGACUCCGGGGCACUGCUUUCCCUUUGGCUCAUUUUUGGAGGAAAUGGGUCAGCCCUUGCUCGACCUUUGGUGAUUGCCGCCACAGGCUUUCCCGCCGGCUAACCCAGCGUGCCCAAGUCCCGUGACUUAGUGCCAGGACGGUGCUGUGACCCGUUAUCCCCUGUCGGGUUUUACGUCCCCCGGGACUGAACGCAGCCCUGGAUCCCGGCGGGCGGCAGAGCCUCUCUGGAGCUCAGACGGGACAGCCCACUAGGGUCUGCUUCUGUGAGGGGCUGAGGCGUCAUUCCGGGAAGCCUUCUCCUUGCUGUCGCCAUGUGAAGAAGGACGUGUUUGCUUCCCUUUCUGCCAUGAUUGAAAAGAAGCAUAAGCUGCAAUAAAAAUUUGGUUUCAAGAUAACAAAGUCAGUCCCCAAAAAUCAGUAUUGAGAGUCACUGCCAUUAAAUGAAGAAGAUACAAGGAUGGUGUGGGGAUCUUCACUCUUCAGAGAUGAGCUAUACAUGCCCCUGAAAGGCUGUCUGAGGGCAGGAGAAGGAUGGAGAUGACAACUCUGGCCUCUGCCAAGUACUUGUGCUAUUUUCUGGAUGUGAUACUAUCUGUUUUGUAACUCAGAGGCAACACCACAUACUUAGCACAAGGCUCGAACUCCCUUUGGGGUUAUCAAUUACUUACAUAGCCUUCCUCUAAGGGAAGGCUUGCAAAUGGUUCAUAUUCAACCCUUACAUGUGAUAAGCAUUCAUGUGGGCUUCACAAUGUAACAGAGGUACACAGGGAUUCUUGUAAACAGAAAAUUUUAUAAACAGUUAACUGAUCUCACUUUGAAGAAGUCUUAAUGACUAGAUGCCCUUUAUCAGAGUAGACAGGCUUAAAAUGCAUUGCUUGUAGUAUUCUGUUGUAAUGCCUUUUUUUUUUGUUUUUGCAUUGGUUUUUAAUUCAUUUAAUUGGUUUAAAUUCUUUUUUUUUACAUUUCAUUUUUGCAUUUGUAUGCCAGUUAAAAAGUAUGAAAUGGCACACUGUGGGAUUUUGUUUACCUAAAUUCUAGAAAGAUUGAAAGACACCUUUUAUUUGAAUUAAGUAAGCCUGAGGUUAUUCAGCAUGAGUGAUCUCUGCAUUUCUGAAAGGUUAUCUUGUCGUUUAAUAAACACAAAUAACUUAAGCACACUGGAAGAGCUAUUAAAUGAGAGCAGGAGAUUAAAACGACAUGAUUUCUUACUUUGUCCACCUGAAAGGAGAGCUUGCGUUGGUGAUUAAUCUUGCACUGUUAAAUUCAGUUCCUAAAUAUUUAGAUAAAUAGUUGGUCUGAUCAUUAUUUGUAAAGUAUUAGUAGUUGCAUGUUGAAUUAUCAUGUUAAGAUUUUUAGUUUGUUGUUCAUGUGACAUGAAAGAUAACAAUUCCUAAAACUGAAUGCAUGGCUUAUUCAGCUCAGGUCACAUACAAAUAGAAACACUGAUGCUGCAAUAAACACAGUAAAGUUAUCCUGGUUUGAAGCAAAAUGGCUGUGAAGUAAGGUAUAUACACUUUUGUAUGUAUCUUUUCAGUUCUAGUAAACUCAUCUGGAAUCAAGUAACAGAAAAUGAUUCUCCAGGUCCAAACACAUCUAAGUUUAAUGACUGGGGCUAUUCUAACAAUUGUGGCUAUCUCAUUUUUUCUCACUAGUUCAUUAGCAUAGCACCCAUUUAAGAACAACUACUUAUAAACAUAGUAAUGUUUCAGAGGCUAUAAAAUAAUAGAGGAAGAAAACUUAAAAAAUCCUUUGUUUGUAGCCAAGAAAAUGUGAGGAUCAGAUUUGUAUUUGUUUUGAACAAUUGGAAACUGUCACAAUUGUUUUUAAGAUGUAACAAAUGUAUAUAAAAUAUGGGAUUCUGUAGUAUUAGCCAUUUUGAUAUAUUUUGUUGAAAGAAAAAAUCAAAAAACCCUAUAUGUUCUAAGGCUCAGAAAUCAAAGAAUUCCACAAUUUUCAUUUCCACUAAAAUAUUUAUUUAAUUGAUAUCUUACAGAAAUAAAUAAAAACAGUUUUUGUCUAAUACAGAUAAUUUUUAUAUAUAUAUGUAAUUUGUUUUUACAAAAUUGAAGCAUAUCAAAUUGUUUUCUCUAAAACAUAGCUCAGAAAGGAAUAGUAGAAAAUAAACACAAAGAAAUACUGAAGUAGUCUCAUUUUUAAAUUAUAAGCAUGGGCCUUCUGAAUCUCAGUAUGACAUGUUAUUAGUAAAAGAAUGUAAGAUAUGGAGUCAGGGUACCUGGGCUCCACUGUUUACUUGCUACAUGUCCUAAGAAAGUUUCAAUGUAUCUGAACUUCAGUUCUCUACCUUUAAAACAGGAAUGAUAUUAAUUGUAUCAACUUCACAAGAUUGUUGGGCAAAUUAAACAUGUAAAUGUACAGGAAAGCUCUUUUUAAUAUGUAAAGAGCUAUAAAAAUAAGUUUGAUUUAAUUUCAUAUAAAAGAAUCAAUGCAUACCUCCUUUUAACUGAAGAAUAAGCACCAAAAGCAUGUGUGUGUUUUCUUCAGUUGAAUUACAUCACUCUAUAAACCUAGAGUAAGAAAAUGCACCUUAACUGAGCACCAAAGCCUCUCGGACAAAUGGGAUCCAGGGGAUGGUUCUAUGAGUUUGCCAGGCAGCUAACUAGGAGCUAAUAAGUCCUGAGGGUCAAAAAAGGUCCUUUAAAACUCUGAAGGCUCAAAGAAAAGGAAGCCAAACAAGAACAUUUGUAUUACAUCAAAUGGCUAGGAUAUAACAAGCUACUCCUUAUUCAGCAAUUUCAAAGUCCAUUAAUUCCUCACAGAAGAAGAACACUUGGUUAUUAGCACUUGCAACGAUUCGCUUAUGUGAACAUGGCAUUCUCUUGUUCAAAAGGUCAAAGACUCGUGCUUAAGGGAGGAACAACUGGAGUGAAAUAACAACUCUACCAUGAAUUCAGAUAUCACUGGCUAAAAAGUUCUAGUUACACAAGAACAUGGGAGAGAAAAAGAAUCCAAGACAUCAGUAUAAUAAUGAUUGAAACAAAACCCUGCCAUAUUUCCAUGUUAUAAUAACACAAAAUCAUAAAAACUGCAAUAUUUACAGAUACAUCAAUCUUACAACAUAUAAAAACUUUAACAAUAAGAAAAAUUAAGAGUAGAGAAAGCAGAUAAUUUUAAGGUAAUCAUUAAUACAUUAAAAAAAUCUAUUUGGAGUCAACUGUCUACACUAACACCACUUUACACAUAAUAGAAGUAUGAAUAUUUUCAUUGUUUUUGUUUUCAGUAGCAAGAUGCAGAAGAAAGAAAUAACUGUCUAACAUUAACUUAUUCUAAGGAGUUGUAUUAUUGCAAAAUUACUAGUUGUAAAGUUAUGGUAUAAGCCUACUCAAAAAAUGAAUUAAUGUAAUUCACCAUCUACUUAAAAUAUUACUAACAAGAUACUGGUGAAUCAUGUGCUAAAGAUACUGAAGGCCCUUCCAAAAACUGAGAUCUAUGUUGGUUGAAUAUACCAGGUCAUAUAAAACUAGACUAGUUUACUUUCUUAUUCCAACUCUUUUUAUGACUGAUCUUAUCAUAAGAAAAGUACACAUUACCUCUCUUAAUUCCCUUGCAUCGUCAGAUAUAGAUAUUAUUUGGGACAAAAAAUAAAUAUUUUAUUAGGAGUGUAAAAUUAAAAAUCUUUAUAGAUCUUCUGAAAACAGUAUAUUGAAAAGGACUCAGUAAGUACUAGGCCACUGUAUAACCAGAACAAGAAACAAAUUCAUUCAACUAGAAACAGUGGUAACUGUUAUCUACUGGGUUUUUAAAACUUGUAACUUUGCUCUACAGCUAUGAAAGUUUAUUAAUACACUAAAGUCCAUGGAAUGAAUCAAGUGUAGUUCAUUCAAGCUCUUCAGUUUCUUUGGUAAACAGGUCUGCCAGGUCAGCCACGGUCAAGACGGAAGCCUCUGAAUGCUUCACUGAUGAGUUCGUGUGACUGCAAGGUUUUCCAAAUGAGCACAGUGAGAAAGAAACCCCAAGCCAUCAGUGAUUGUAUUUGUAGUAAUACGAACUAGACACAUAUUUUUUCUUAAGUUUUUGUAACUGGGCUAUAAGAAACUCCCAGAGGAAAGCAAGUGAUAAGAUCAUUGUUAUAACUUGUCAAAACUAGUGAAGACUUCUAUAUAUUACGUUUAGGGUUUGUCAAAAUGUUUUUUUCUCUGUGCAAUUAACAGAACAAAGAACAAAACUCUUGACAACUGCUA